rnacentral:rRNA from 1 species
CUACGGGAGGCAGCAGUGGGGAAUAUUGCACAAUGGGCGAAAGCCUGAUCCAGCCAUGCCGCGUGCGGGAAGAAGGCCUUCGGGUUGUAAACCGCUUUUAGCCGGGAAGAAAAGGCGGCUCCUAAUACGGGCUGUUCUUGACGGUACCGGCGGAAUAAGCACCGGCUAACUACGUGCCAGCAGCCGCGGUAAUACGUAGGGUGCGAGCGUUGUCCGGAAUCACUGGGCGUAAAGGGCGCGUAGGUGGCGGGGUAAGCGUGUGGUGAAAGUCCGGGGCUCAACCCCGGACUAGCAGUGGGUACGGGCAAACUAGAGUGUGGUAGGGGAGACUGGAAUUCCUGGUGUAGCGGUGAAAUGCGCAGAUAUCAGGAGGAACACCAAUGGCGAAGGCAGGUCUCUGGGCCACUACUGACGCUGAGAAGCGAAAGCGUGGGGAGCGAACAGGAUUAGAUACCCCUGUAGUCC